AGCAGAAUAUCCUUCUUCAACAUAUAUGCAUGAAAAAUAAUUCUUUAUUUUGAUCAAAAUCCAAAAUUGUUUUUCAUGCAUGUGUUGAAGAAGGAUAUUCUGCU